CAAGACCUCACGUUAUUCGAGCGGCCGAUGCCUGAUUAGCUAGUUGGUGAGGUAAAGGCUCACCAAGGCGACGAUCAGUAGCUGGUCUGAGAGGAUGAUCAGCCACACUGGAACUGAGACACGGUCCAGACUCCUACGGGAGGCAGCAGUGGGGAAUUUUGGACAAUGGGCGCAAGCCUGAUCCAGCCAUUCCGCGUGAGUGAAGAAGGCCUUCGGGUUGUAAAGCUCUUUCGGCAGGGAAGAAAUCGCUAGGGGUAAUAUCCUUGGCGGAUGACGGUACCUGAAGAAGAAGCACCGGCUAACUACGUGCCAGCAGCCGCGGUAAUACGUAGGGUGCGAGCGUUAAUCGGAAUUACUGGGCGUAAAGCGUGCGCAGGCGGUUUUUUAAGCCAGAUGUGAAAGCCCCGGGCUCAACCUGGGAACU
rnacentral:rRNA from 1 species